AAGUCGUAACAAGGUCUCCGUAGGUGAACCUGCGGAGGGAUCAUUAACACGUAUCCACGUAUCAAACCAAACCGCGCACUAGGAACAGAAGAAACCUCCCUGCGAGGAAGUAUGAUGUUCCAAUCUGACUUGGAAAAGAAAUGCUGUCAGUUAGCAUCGUGUAGUGGGUCCUUCGGGACGAUGCUCUUUGACUGGAGGGAAAAGCUCAAGGCAUAGUAUUUUCCAAGUAUAAAAAUUUUCUACCUCUACGGGAAGCCAACCUAUUUCACCCCCAUAUAACCACUUGACUGAUGACGCUCGUGCGGAGAAAUCCGAUUCGAGUUUUCGAUAUUCGAACUAAAGCACAACUCUUAGCAACGGAUAUCUUGGUUCCC
rnacentral:misc_RNA from 1 species